AACGAACGCUGGCGGCAGGCUUGACACAUGCAAGUCGAGCGCCCCGCAAGGGGAGCGGCAGACGGGUGAGUAACGCGUGGGAAUCUACCCAUCUCUACGGGAUAACGCAUGGAAACGUGUGCUAAUACCGUAUACGUCCUUCGGGAGAAAGAUUUAUCGGAGAUGGAUGAGCCCGCGUUGGAUUAGCUAGUUGGUGGGGUAAGGGCCUACCAAGGCGACGAUCCAUAGCUGGGCUGAGAGGAUGAUCAGCCACACUGGGACUGAGACACGGCCCAGACUCCUACGGGAGGCAGCAGUGGGGAAUAUUGGACAAUGGGCGCAAGCCUGAUCCAGCCAUGCCGCGUGAGUGAUGAAGGCCCUAGGGUUGUAAAGCUCUUUCACCGGUGAAGAUAAUGACGGUAACCGGAGAAGAAGCCCCGGCUAACUUUGUGCCAGCCGCCGCGGUAAAAC
rnacentral:rRNA from 1 species